rnacentral:rRNA from 1 species
GACGAACGCUGGCGGCGUGCUUAACACAUGCAAGUCGAACGGAAAGGCCUGCUUUCCCUUGUGGAUUGCGGGUACUCGAGUGGCGAACGGGUGAGUAACACGUGAGUGAUCUGCCCCCAACUUGGGUAUAAGCCUGGGAAACUGGGUCUAAUUCCCGAUAGGACUGCAGGGUGGUGCCUGUGGUGGAAAACGAUUUUCUAGUGGUUGGGGAUGAGCUCGCGGCCUAUCAGCUUGUUGGUGGGGUAAUGGCCUACCAAGGCGGCGACGGGUAGCCGGCCUGAGAGGGUGGACGGCGACAUUGGGACUGGGAUACGGCCCAGACGCCUACGGGAGGCAGCAGUGGGGAAUAUUGCACAAUGGGCGGAAGCCUGAUGCAGCGACGCCGCGUGGGGGAUGACGGCCUUCGGGUUGUAAACUCCUUUCGACCGCGAGGAAGCCACCUGGUUGGAAGGGUGGUGACGGUAGUGGUAGAAGAAGCACCGGCUAACUACGUG